AAUAUUGAAGAAGAGCUAGGAGAUGAAGGACUAGAGAAUCCAACAUCAAUAAGGUUCUCAGGUCGUGUGUUCGAGUAUUGAUGAAGCUCCGCUCUGAUUGUGACACGGGAAAAAAUGGGUUUUAUAUAUGUAGAGUCCUCUAGUCUUAAUUAUUUUGUAUAAUUAAUAAUACUUUAUUUAAUUCAAAGAUUUGGUAUAAACUCGUAUUCUACUAAUUAAUGUUAUUAGUAAGGUUUGAAGUAA